UACAGAGGGGGCAAGCGUUGUUCGGAAUUACUGGGCGUAAAGGGCGCGUAGGCGGCCCGCUAAGUCGAACGUGAAAUCCCCGAGCUCAACUCGGGAACUGCGUCCAUACUGGCGGGCUUGAAUCCGGGAGAGGGAUGCGGAAUUCCAGGUGUAGCGGUGAAAUGCGUAGAUAUCUGGAGGAACACCGGUGGCGAAGGCGGCAUCCUGGACCGGCAUUGACGCUGAGGCGCGAAAGCCAGGGGAGCAAACGGG
rnacentral:rRNA from 1 species